rnacentral:rRNA from 1 species
CGCUAGCGACAGGCUUAACACAUGCAAGUCGAGGGGUAACAGGGUGUAGCAAUACACCGCUGACGACCGGCGCACGGGUGAGUAACGCGUAUGCAACCUGCCUUUGACAGAGGGAUAGCCCAUGGAAACGUGGAUUAAUACCUCAUAGUCUCUUUUUCCUUCCUGGGGAAUAGAGUAAAACGAGAGUGGUCAAAGAUGGGCAUGCGUCCUAUUAGGCAGUUGGCGGGGUAACGGCCCACCAAACCGAUGAUAGGUAGGGGUUCUGAGAGGAAGGUCCCCCACACUGGUACUGAGACACGGACCAGACUCCUACGGGAGGCAGCAGUGAGGAAUAUUGGUCAAUGGUCGAGAGACUGAACCAGCCAAGUCGCGUGAGGGAUGACUGCCCUAUGGGUUGUAAACCUCUUUUCUACUGGGAGAAUAAGCCCUAUGUAUAGGGUGAUGACAGUACAGUAGGAAUAAGCAUCGGCUAACUCCGUGCCAGCAGCCGCGGUAAUACGGAGGAUGCGAGCGUUAUCCGGAUUUAUUGGGUUUAAAGGGUGCGUAGGCGGCUUUAUAAGUUAGUGGUAAAAUUUCGGAGCUUCACUCCGGUCCGCCAUUAAAACUGUAGAGCUAGAGAAUGGACGAGGUAGGCGGAAUAAGUUAAGUAGCGGUGAAAUGCAUAGAUAUAACUUAGAACUCCGAUAGCGAAGGCAGCUUACCAGACCAUAACUGACGCUGAUGCACGAGAGCGUGGGUAGCGAACAGGAUUAGAUACCCUGGUAGUCCACGCCGUAAACGAUGCUCACCGGCCCUUAGCGAUAAGACAGUUAGGGGUUAAUUGAAAGAAUUAAGUGAGCCACCUGGGGAGUACGUCGGCAACGAUGAAACUCAAAGGAAUUGACGGGGGCCCGCACAAGCGGAGGAACAUGUGGUUUAAUUCGAUGAUACGCGAGGAACCUUACCUGGGUUUAAAUGUAUGUUGCAUAAUCUGGAAACAGUUUUUCUCUUCGGAGCUAUAUACAAGGUGCUGCAUGGUUGUCGUCAGCUCGUGCCGUGAGGUGUCGGGUUAAGUCCCCU